ensembl:lncRNA
CCGACAACCACCUGCGCUGUAACUUCCGCUCCCCGACUGCUCGUGCAGCUGCUGACGGAUGGAGGACCGGAUGGAGAAAAGGAGACUGACGGCUGACGAGUAAUGAUGUCAAUCCGAUUCAUAAGAGUUUCCAGCGCUGAGGACAACAGGUUUCUUCUUCUGCUCUGCAGUUACUCUGAGAUGUAACUUUGACAGUGGGGAAAGCCCGGACGUCUCUGCUGUACCGCGGCGAUGCACACUGAUGUCCUCAUUGCGGUGGGAUUCGAACCCGGGCUGACACCACCACCCAACAGCGUGACCACGCCACCAUGUCAUUCCCCCUAUAACAUCUCUUUGUUGCCUUUGACUUCUUCUGACUGAGCUAUUUGUUCACACCGCCUUUAUGCAGCUCUGAUAAAACAGAUAACAGAUAAAACAAAUAAACCUCUGAAAUAAACAAAAUUUCAAGAAUCUUCUGAAGAAGGAGACAUUGUUCUGCAAUUUAUAUAUUAAACAUUAAAAAAAUGGUCCACAACAUGAAUCAUCUUGAGCUCUGGUGGAAUUAAAACAGCACUGCAACCUUCUGAGCCACCGUUGGGCUUCGAUCCUUUCAGCUCCUCAUCUGGGUGAGCUAAUCCCUGAAGGACAAACUUGCCUAUUUCUUCUGGCAUUUGUUCUUCACUCUGCUGAGGAGGAACCUCAGAGGAUCCUCCUACAACGCAUACAACUUGUGAAAUAAACAACAGCAAUUCAUAGAAGUAGUGAAAUCAACUACGGAACGGAUGUGGCUUCCAGCCUGUGAGUCUAUGAGAGUAUUGAGGUUCGUCUCAUCGACUUGACAAAGUCCAGCGGCGUGGGUGUGCGGUGGAACAGUGCAGGGAGAUAACCGGAAGGUUGAGGUGUGGAUGGUCCACGGUUCAAACGUCCCAGAGCUUGAAGUGUUUUUGAGGUUUUAGUCAGCAAUCCCAAGGUCUAAUAGGAGAAACAGAGAGAUUAUGAAGCGUGUGGCUGAAUAGCACAAGGGAACAACCGAAGGGCUGCAGGCUCCAACCUGCUGUCUGAGGUUGUUGGUUCAAGCCCCUUUGAGCGGACGUUCCAUGAAAGAGUUUUUCCGGUUUAGCUCGUAAUCUCUAGGUCAAAUACAAGAAAUGAAGUCUUUGAUACGAGAAACGAAGAGUUGUUUAGUGAGUGGCGAGGUAGCUCAGCUGAAGAGCUGCUGUCUCAAACCUAUGCCUGCACCUAUAGGUUGGUGGUUCAAGCCCAGAUGUGGGCCAUAGGCUAGAGUUUUGAGGUUUAACUCACAUUCUCACGGUUAAAUAGGAGAAAUAAAGUUCCUCAAGUGUGAGCAGGACUGGUGGCGUAGUGGUGCAGGGGCCAAAACCUCUGUAAGUGCUAGUGGGUUCAAAUCCCACCACUGCCAGGUCUUGAGUGCGCUACCAUGGAGGUAGUAGUGGGGGCUUUGUCCCCACUGGUUGUUUCAGAGAAGUGAACCGAGGGGGUUAUGCAAAAACCGAAGAUGAGUUUAGGUGGAAUUGUCAAGAAUCUUUUGGAUGAUCAAGUUCAAGUUCCUUAAUUGUUAAUCAGCUUUGCUGUGCAUAUUGCAGCGCUUUUGCCAUUGCAUUAUACUAUGCAUGAUUCGACCUUGAAGUCCUCUGAUCCUCGCCCAAAACCUCCUGUCUUUCCUCUGUGAACCAACAAAGACAACAAAUGUCAGCUUCAACGUCCAUCUUACAUAUUUGGACUUUUUUGAGGUGAGAGGGUUACUUCCUGUGUAACAGCAUCUGUGGACAAACUGAAUAAGACCAAGUCUGGGACAGGACAUAGAUUUGUUUACCCUUUUUAGUGCAUCCACCAAUUCUCU